rnacentral:tRNA from 1 species
ACCUGUGUGGUUCAUUUGGUUGAGCAUCUGAUUUCGACUCAGGUCAUGAUCUCAGGGUUCAUGGGUUCAAGCCCCAUGUCAGGCU